UCUGUGACAUUAGGAAAGCUGAGUUAACAGA
rnacentral:piRNA from 1 species